rnacentral:rRNA from 1 species
CAGUCGCCGCGGGAACACGGAGGAUCCAAGCGUUAUCCGGAAUCAUUGGGUUUAAAGGGUCCGUAGGCGGUCUUGUAAGUCAGUGGUGAAAGCCCAUCGCUCAACGGUGGAACGGCCAUUGAUACUGCAGGACUUGAAUUAUUGGGAAGUAACUAGAAUAUGUAGUGUAGCGGUGAAAUGCUUAGAGAUUACAUGGAAUACCAAUUGCGAAGGCAGGUUACUACCAAUUGAUUGACGCUGAUGGACGAAAGCGUGGGUAGCGAACAGGAUUAGAUACCCCAGUAGUCCCUGUCUCUUAUAC